GCAUAUCAAUAAGCGGAGGAAAAGAAACCAACCGGGAUUGCCUUAGUAACGGCGAGUGAAGCGGCAAAAGCUCAAAUUUGAAAUCUGGUACCUUCGGUGCCCGAGUUGUAAUUUGGAGAGGGCAACUUUGGGGCCGUUCCUUGUCUAUGUUCCUUGGAACAGGACGUCAUAGAGGGUGAGAAUCCCGUGUGGCGAGGAGUGCGGUUCUUUGUAAAGUGCCUUCGAAGAGUCGAGUUGUUUGGGAAUGCAGCUCUAAGUGGGUGGUAAAUUCCAUCUAAAGCUAAAUAUUGGCGAGAGACCGAUAGCGAACAAGUACAGUGAUGGAAAGAUGAAAAGAACUUUGAAAAGAGAGUGAAAAAGUACGUGAAAUUGUUGAAAGGGAAGGGCAUUUGAUCAGACAUGGUGUUUUGUGCCCUCCGCUCCUUGUGGGUAGGGGAAUCUCGCAUUUCACUGGGCCAGCAUCAGUUUUGGUGGCAGGAUAAAUCCAUAGGAAUGUAGCUUGCCUCGGUAAGUAUUAUAGCCUGUGGGAAUACUGCCAGCUGGGACUGAGGACUGCGACGUAAGUCAAGGAUGCUGGCAUAAUGGUUAUAUGCCGCCCGUCUUGAAACACGGACC
rnacentral:rRNA from 1 species